AAAAACAUUUCUGGGAGGAAAAUGUUUUUAGUUUAACCUGCUCAAUGCUUUAGUAAAUAGCUGCAGUAUUUUGACUGUACAAAGGUAGCAUAAUCAUUAGUCUUUUGAUUGGAGGCUUGUAUGAAUGGUUGAACAGAAUAUUAGCUUUUUUAGGUGUAUGGAAUUUUAAUUUAUGGUUUAUGUAAAAAUGCAUAGAUUUUUGGAAGGGACGAUAAGACCCUAUAGAAUUUUAAAAUAGGUGUGUAAAUUUUUAUUUUUUUGUUGGGGUGACAGUAAAUAAACUUUUACGUAAUUUUCAUUGAUGAAUGAUUAGAAGAUCUUAAAAUUUUAGAAAGAAAGAUAAAAUUACCUUAGGGAUAACAGCAUAAUUUUUUUUAAAAGAUCUUAUUAAUAAAAAAGAUUAUGACCUCGAUGUUGAAUUAAAAUAAAAUUUUGGUGUAGAAGCUUAAUUUUUUAGUCUGUUCGACUUUAGAUUUUACAUGAUUUG
rnacentral:rRNA from 1 species